ACUCCUACGGGAGGCAGCAGUGAGGAAUAUUGGUCAAUGGGCGCAAGCCUGAACCAGCCAUGCCGCGUGCAGGAAGACUGCCUUAUGGGUUGUAAACUGCUUUUAUAUGGGAAGAAACCCNCCUCUACGUGUGAGUAGGCUUGACGGUACCAUAAGAAUAAGCACCGGCUAACUCCGUGCCAGCAGCCGCGGUAAUACGGAGGGUGCAAGCGUUAUCCGGAAUCAUUGGGUUUAAAGGGUCCGCAGGCGGUCAAUUAAGUCAGAGGUGAAAUCCUAUAGCUUAACUAUAGAACUGCCUUUGAUACUGGUUGACUUGAGUUAUACGGAAGUAGGUAGAAUGUGUAGUGUAGCGGUGAAAUGCAUAGAUAUUACACAGAAUACCGAUUGCGAAGGCAGCCUACUACGUAUAUACUGACGCUCAUGGACGAAAGCGUGGGAGG
rnacentral:rRNA from 1 species